rnacentral:rRNA from 1 species
UGGCGAACGGGUGAGUAACGUGUAGGUAAUUUGCCUACGAGUGGGGAAUAGGUCCGGGAAACCGGAAUUAAUACCGCAUAACGUCAUGCUCCGAUGGGAGUGUGAUCAAAGGUGGGGACCUUCGGGCCCAUCGCUUGUAGAUAAGCCUGCAUCUGAUUAGUUAGUUGGUAGGGGUAAACGGGCCUACCAAGAACCGCGAUCAGUAAGCUGUCCUAAGAGGAAGAUCAGCCACAUUGGGACUGAGAUACGGCCCAGACUCCUACGGGAGGCAGCAGUGAGGAAUUUUGCGCAAUGGGAGAGAUCCUGACGCAGCAACGCCGCGUGACCGAUUGAAGCUUUUAGGAGUGUAAAGGUCUGUCGUGAGGGAAGAAAAAGACCGAGGAUAAUAAGUUCGGUAAUUGACGGUACCUCACAAGCAAGCUCCGGCUAACUUCGUGCCAGCAGCCGCGGUAAUACGAGGGGAGCAAGCGUUGUCCGAAAUAACUGGGCGUAAAGGGUACGUAGGCUAUUUUGUAUGUUUCCGGUGAAAUUCACAGGCUCAACUUGUGACUUGCCGGAAAAACUGCAGAGAUUGAAUCCGGAAGGGGAAAGCGGAAUUCCUGGUGUAGCGGUGAAAAUGCGUAGAUAUCAGGAGGAACACCAGUGGCGAAGGCGGCUUUCUGGUCCGGAAUUGACGCUGAGGUACUAAAGCGUGGGUAGCAAACAGGAUUAGAUACCCUGGUAGUCCACGCCCUAAACGAUGGAUACUUGAUGUCGGGAUGUUCGGUCGUCUCGGUGUCGUAGCUAACGUGUUAAGUAUCCCGCCUGGGGACUACGGUCGCAAGACUGAAACUCAAAGGAAUUGUCGGGGGCCCGCACCAGCGGUGGAACAUGUGGUUUAAUUCGAUGCAACGCGAAGAACCUUACCUGGGCUUGACAUAUAUAUGAAGUAUGUAAGAAAUUAUGUAUUCUGUCUGAUUUUUCAGACAGCAUAUAUACAGGUGAUGCAUGGCUGUCGUCAGCUCGUGUCGUGAGAUGUAGGGUUAAGUCCCUUAACGAGCGCAACCCUUGCUUUUAGUUGCCAUCAGGUAAUGCUGGGGACUCUAGAAGGACUGCCGAGGUUAACUCGGAGGAAGGUGGGGAUGACGUCAAGUCAGUAUGUCCCUUAUGUCCAGGGCUACACACGUGUUACAAUGGACGGUACAGAGUGCAGCUACGCCGUGAGGCUACGCAAAUCACUUAAAGCCGUUCCCAGUUCGGAUUGGAGUCUGCAAUUCGACUCCAUGAAGUUGGAAUCGCUAGUAAUCGCAGAACAGCAUGCUGCGGUGAAUACGUUCCCGGGCCUUGUACACACCGCCCGUCACGCCAUGGAAGUUGGGAGUACCCAAAGU